ACGAAGUUGAAGAGCUUGCUCUUUAACGAAGUGAGUGGCGGACGGGUGAGUAACACGUGGGUGACGGGCAUAUUAGAGGGGGAUAACAUUCGGAAACGGAUGCUAAUACCGCAUAGUUUCAGGRAUCGCAUGAUUCUUGAAGGAAAGGUGGCUUCGGCUACCACUAAUGGAUGGACCCACGGCGUAUUAGCUAGUUGGUGAGGUAAUGGCUCACCAAGGCAAUGAUACGUAGCCGACCUGAGAGGGUCAUCGGCCACACUGGGACUGAGACACGGCCCCGACUCCUACGGGAGGCAGCAGUAGGGAAUCUUCCGCAAUGGACGAAAGUCUGACGGAGCAACGCCGCGUGAGUGAAGAAGGUUUUCGGAUCGUAAAACUCUGUUGUUAAAGAAGAACAAGGAUGAGAGUAACUGCUCAUCACCUGACGGUAUUUAACCAGAAAGCCACGGCUAACUACGUGCCAGCAGCCGCGGUAAUACGUAGGUGGCUAGCGUUGUCCGGAUUUAUUGGGCGUAAAGCGAGCGCAGGCGGUUCUUUAAGUCUGAUGU
rnacentral:rRNA from 1 species